AGAGUUUGAUCCUGGCUCAGGAUGAACGCUGACAGAAUGCUUAACACAUGCAAGUCUACUUGAUCCUUCGGGUGAUGGUGGCGGACGGGUGAGUAACGCGUAAAGAACUUGCCCUGCAGUCUGGGACAACAUUUGGAAACGAAUGCUAAUACCGGAUAUUAUGUGAGUUUCGCAUGAAAUUCAUAUGAAAGCUAUAUGCGCUGCAGGAGAGCUUUGCGUCCUAUUAGCUAGUUGGUGAGGUAACGGCUCACCAAGGCGAUGAUAGGUAGCCGGCCUGAGAGGGUGAACGGCCACAAGGGGACUGAGACACGGCCCUUACUCCUACGGGAGGCAGCAGUGGGGAAUAUUGGACAAUGGACCAAAAGUCUGAUCCAGCAAUUCUGUGUGCACGAUGAAGUUUUUCGGAAUGUAAAGUGCUUUCAGUUGGGACGAAGUAAGUGACGGUACCAACAGAAGAAGCGACGGCUAAAUACGUGCCAGCAGCCGCGGUAAUACGUAUGUCGCAAGCGUUAUCCGGAUUUAUUGGGCGUAAAGCGCGUCUAGGCGGUUUGGUAAGUCUGAUGUGAAAAUGCGGGGCUCAACUCCGUAUUGCGUUGGAAACUGCCAAACUAGAGUACUGGAGAGGUGGGCGGAACUACAAGUGUAGAGGUGAAAUUCGUAGAUAUUUGUAGGAAUGCCGAUGGGGAAGCCAGCCCACUGGACAGAUACUGACGCUAAAGCGCGAAAGCGUGGGUAGCAAACAGGAUUAGAUACCCUGGUAGUCCACGCCGUAAACGAUGAUUACUAGGU
rnacentral:rRNA from 2 species